UGGGGAAUAUUGCACAAUGGGCGAAAGCCUGAUGCAGCAACGCCGCGUGAGUGAUGAAGGUCUUCGGAUUGUAAAGCUCUGUCUUUUGGGACGAUAAUGACGGUACCAAAGGAGGAAGCCACGGCUAACUACGUGCCAGCAGCCGCGGUAAUACGUAGGUGGCGAGCGUUGUCCGGAUUUACUGGGCGUAAAGGGUGCGUAGGCGGAUGUUUAAGUGAGAUGUGAAAUACCCGGGCUUAACUUGGGUGCUGCAUUUCAAACUGGAUAUCUAGAGUGCAGGAGAGGAGAAUGGAAUUCCUAGUGUAGCGGUGAAAUGCGUAGAGAUUAGGAAGAACACCAGUGGCGAAGGCGAUUCUCUGGACUGUAACUGACGCUGAGGCACGAAAGCGUGGGUAGCAAACAGGAUUAGAUACCCUGGUAGUCCACGCCGUAAACGAUGAGUACUAGGUGUAGGAGGUAUUGACCCCUUCUGUGCCGCAGUAAACACAUUAAGUACUCCGCCUGGGAAGUACGAUCGCAAGAUUAAAAC
rnacentral:rRNA from 1 species